GACUCUCGGCAACGGAUAUCUCGGCUCUCGCAUCGAUGAAGAACAUAGAAAAAUGCGAUACCUGGUGUGAAUUGCAGAAUCCCACGAACCAUCCAGUCUUUGAACGCAAGUUGCGCUCGAGGCCACUCGGCCGAGGGAAUGCAUGCCUGGGCAUCA
rnacentral:rRNA from 16 species